AGCGAACGCUGGCGGCAGGCCUAACACAUGCAAGUCGAACGAAGUCUUCGGACUUAGUGGCGGACGGGUGAGUAACACGUGGGAACGUGCCUUUAGGUUCGGAAUAACUCAGGGAAACUUGUGCUAAUACCGAAUGUGCCCUUAGGGGGAAAGAUUUAUCGCCUUUAGAGCGGCCCGCGUCUGAUUAGCUAGUUGGUGAGGUAAAGGCUCACAAAGGCGACGAUCAGUAGGUGGUCUGAGAGGAUGAUCAGCCACAUUGGGACUGAGACACGGCCCAAACUCCUACGGGAGGCAGCAGUGGGGAAUCUUGCGCAAUGGACGAAAGCCUGACGCAGCCAUGCCGCGUGAAUGAUGAAGGUCUUAGGAUUGUAAAAUUCUUUCACCGGGGACGAUAAUGACGGUACCCGGAGAAGAAGCCCCGGCUAACUUCGUGCCAGCCGCCGCAGUAA
rnacentral:rRNA from 1 species